AGCUAAAAGAAGCCAUGAGGUAAAGAAUGAGAGUUCUUCUAAGGACAUAUCCCAAGGAAACAAAGCAAAAAUCUUAAGCCAACAUUAUAAUUACUGCCUUUUCGUCUGAGAGCAAGUUUCUAAAAAUCAAAGGUGUAACUAUUUAAUACUGCCUUUGUUUCAUCUAGUCAUGUCUUGGUUAGACUACAGAUUCAAAGAUCAGAAGUUACAGAAAAGCUCUCUCACCGUUCAAACUAAAUCUUUGCUGUAUUAAAGGCAGGACUUUCACAGCAGAAACGCCCGUGCUGAACAGGAGACGAGAUCAUUCUUGCCAGUUGAAUUUAAAAGAUAUCAGAAUGAAGGUGAACAUGAGAAUAAGGAAAAAUCAAUGAAGAACAAAGAGCAAUGCAGCUUGGAGAACAAGAAAGGUGAAAAUAUAUGAUAGAACACACGAAGACAGGAAUCCAACAUGACCAAUAUGGAGGCUCAUUGUUUUUCUAAAUGAAGGCAAAGUGAGAAGACAAAUUUGGAUUUGAAUCAAAGAUCCUCUGAAGACAAUCCUGUGCACAACAGAAGACAGAAUAUGCAAUGCCUAAGUGGUAGCCUUCACUGAAUGCAGUCAUUCAAAUGAUGUUUCUGGUCUACCUUCAGAGAGCAUUCAUUGGCUCACUCUUAAAAUCAACUCUGGUCAAAGUAUGGUCCUCAGCUAUCAGAUACUUGCAUGCAUCUUAACAAAUUGAAAAUAAAAGAAAAUAUAUACA